rnacentral:other from 1 species
UUACCCCUGGGACGUUAGUGAUCGCCUGGAGUGUUAUUGAGCCAAUACUCCCUAAAAGGGCGACGACUCCAGCGUGCUGGUGUGCAGGCCCGGCUUGGCCGGGAAGCCUGAAGGUGCGCGAGACAUGCCCACCUGGACAUACCAGGUUCAAAACAAACUGGCGACACGGCCUCCCGGGGACUUU